UACGUAUCAGAUCAUGAACACAACAACUUUUAGAUUUUCCAUCAAUGCUAACUGAGGAUACUUGCACCAAACUUCGACGAAUCAACUCUGAUAAAUAUCCUUCUGCAACUUCUUCCAAAGUCUUCCCACUUUCCUCCUUCACAAACCCUUCAGCUAUCCACUGUCGAAUCACUCUCUUUGAUUUAACUUCAUAAUCUUCUGGAUACAUUCCAAAAUAU
rnacentral:lncRNA from 1 species